GGUUCAUGUGCUACAAGCUCUCACAGGACCAUGUUUCCUUCAUUAGGGCAUUUAUAUCAGUGUGGAAAUGGAUGUGGACGCGGUGCUGCUGCCUGAGAUUAGCAGGAAGCAAUUCUUUUCCCAUUUGGAGAGACCCCGGCUUUGUUGGGCCAGGAGAUGGUUUUGCAGCAGCAGAAGACUAUGAACUGGGCUUUGGGAGAUAGGAUCUCUGGUUGUAUUCUGGCUAUCCACACUCUGAAAGAGGACCGUGACAGAGAAUUUGAGUAUCCUACCAAUAUACCUACAAAAGGAUGAAAGAAGAUUUGGAGUCAAGGGAAAACAAGGGCAAUAAAAUAGAAGCUUACCACCUGCUCUCAUACAGUUGCUAGAAGAGGACUGCAUAUUUGGUUCUAAGUUUCUGGAAGAUAAAGCCAAAAUAGAAACACAACUCAUUAUAAAAUUUUGGUGUAUCCAUAAAAUAAAAACAAAUGACCUGUUUGAGAAAACUCUUUCUGAGUUUGAGCUCUAAAAGGAACUUCUCUAUGGAAUCCUUAGAAUAUGAGAAGGCUGUGAUAUAGGGGAGAAACCCCUUGACAUUCCUAUAUUGGGUUUAGGUCUAAUUUCACUCAGUAGUUUUUAAAUGUUACUCCUUGUAGACAGAUG
rnacentral:lncRNA from 1 species